rnacentral:rRNA from 1 species
UUGACCUCAAAUCGAGUAGGACUACCCGCUGAACUUAAGCAUAUCAAUAAGCGGAGGAAAAGAAACUAACAAGGAUUCCCCUAGUAACGGCGAGUGAAGAGGGAAGAGCUCAAAUUUUGAAUCUGGCGUCUUUGGCGUCCGAAUUGUAAUCUAGAGAAGUGUUUUCCGUGAUGGACUGUGCACAAGUCUCCUGGAAUGGAGCGUCAUAGAGGGUGAGAAUCCCGUAUAUGGCACAGACUCCCGUUGCCCUGUGAUACACUCUCGACGAGUCGAGUUGUUKGGGAAUGCAGCUCUAAA